UACGGGGGGGGCAAGCGUUGUUCGGAAUUACUGGGCGUAAAGGGCUCGUAGGCGGCCAACUAAGUCGGACGUGAAAUCCCUCGGCUUAACCGGGGAACUGCGUCCGAUACUGGAUGGCUUGAGUUUGGGAGAGGGAUGCGGAAUUCCAGGUGUAGCGGUGAAAUGCGUAGAUAUCUGGAGGAACACCGGUGGCGAAGGCGGUUCUCUGGGCCUUACCUGACACUGAGGAGCGAAAGCGUGGGGAGCGAACAGG
rnacentral:rRNA from 1 species